rnacentral:rRNA from 1 species
CUAUCAGAGUGAGAUUAAGCCAUGCGAGUCAACGUAGCAAUACGUGGCACACGGCUCAGUAACACGUAGUCAACAUAACCAAAGGACGUGGAUAAACUCGGGAAACUGAGGCUAAACCGCGAUAGAUCAAGAUACCUGGAAUGGUUUUUGAUCGAAAUCUAUAUGGCCUUUGGAUUGGACUGCGUCCGAUCAGGCUGUUGGUGAGGUAAUGGCCCACCAAACCUGUAACCGGUACGGGCUCUGAGAGGAGGAGCCCGGAGAUGGGUACUGAGAAAAGGACCCAGGCCCUAUGGGGCGCAGCAGGCGCGAAACCUCUGCAAUAGGCGGAAGCCUGACAGGGUUACUCUGAGUGACUUUCGCUAAGAAAGUCUUUUGACACCUCUAAAAAUGGUGUAGAAUAAGGGGUGGGCAAGUCUGGUGUCAGCCGCCGCGGUAAUACCAGCACCCCGAGUGGUCGGGACGAUUAUUGGGCCUAAAGCAUCCGUAGCCGGUUUUACAAGUCCUCCGUUAAAUCCAGCUGCUUAACAGAUGGGCUGCGGAGGAUACUAUAAGACUAGGAGGCAGGAGAGGCAAGCGGUACUCAGUGGGUAGGGGUAAAAUCCGUUGAUCCAUUGAAGGCCACCAGUGGCGAAGGCGGCUUGCCAGAAUGCGCUCGACGGUGAGGGAUGAAAGCUGGGGGAGCAAACCGGAUUAGAUACCCGGGUAGUCCCAGCUGUAAACGAUGCAGACUCGGUGAUGGACUAGCUUUAUGCUAGUCCAGUGCCGCAGGGAAGCCGUUAAGUCUGCCGCCUGGGUAGUACGGUCGCAAGACUGAAACUUAAAGGAAUUGGCGGGGGAGCACCACAAGGGGUGAAGCCUGCGGU